rnacentral:rRNA from 1 species
UGCCAGCCGCCGCGGUAAUACGGAAGGUCCAAGCGUUAAUCGGAAUUACUGGGCGUAAAGCGCGCGUAGGUGGUUUAUUAAGUUGGAUGUGAAAUCCCCGGGCUCAACCUGGGAACUGCAUCCAAAACUGAUUCACUAGAGUACGAUAGAGGGAGGUAGAAUUUCUGGUGUAGCGGUGAAAUGCGUAGAUAUCAGAAGGAAUACCAAUGGCGAAGGCAGCUCUCUGGCUCGUCACUGACGCUGAGGUGCGAAAGCGUGGGUAGCAAACAGGAUUAGAUA